GGUUUCGAAGCACAAGAUCCACAACACCCAGAUGCAACCAUGUUGUGUUUAACCCGCGCAUGCGGAUUAACUCAAAAUCUCUCCAGUUCACAAUAGCCAACAAACAAGGCAUGUAAACAAUAAUUGUGCAAAAAAGAGGCAAAGAAAGUGAACAUUAACGAAGGGACGCAACAAAUUCGUGAAUAAAAAUUUAAAUGUAUUUAGUGUGUGCCAAAGCGAACAGCGUUCCAGCCUAAGAGUGUGUGAGAAAAAUCAAUAAAUUAGUUGUUCAUGAAUAAAAUAAAGUAGCUGCAAAAAUUUGUUAAAGCAUACAUUUAUAAAUAAAGUUUAAUUAAACUGGAUAAUUGUUUCACACAUUUUUAAGUGCGCGUGUGGUAAUGUGCAAAUAUUCAGAUGGCAAAAAAGGACGCUCCUAAAGUCAUGAAUUAAAUACUCCACACAACCUUGAAUUAAUCACCCAAGUCUCGUCAGUGAAAUACCAGGGCUUCCGCAAAACUACAAACGCCGUAAAGACUUCCUCCUCAACCAAAAAUAAUUCGUAUUCAAUAAGAGAUAAAUA